AUUGAACGCUGGCGGCAGGCCUAACACAUGCAAGUCGAGCGGUUGAAGGGAGCUUGCUCCUGGAUUCAGCGGCGGACGGGUGAGUAAUGCCUAGGAAUCUGCCUGGUAGUGGGGGAUAACGUCCGGAAACGGGCGCUAAUCCCGCAUACGUCCUGAGGGAGAAAGUGGGGGUUCUUCGGACCUCACGCUAUCAGAUGAGCCUAGGUCGGAUUAGCUAGUUGGUGGGGUAAAGGCCUACCAAGGCGACGAUCCGUAACUGGUCUGAGAGGAUGAUCAGUCACACUGGAGCUGAGACACGGUCCAGACUCCUACGGGAGGCAGCAGUGGGGAAUAUUAGACAAUGGGCGAAAGCCUGAUCCAGCCAUGCCGCGUGUGUGAAGAAGGUCUUCGGAUUGUAAAGCACUUUAAGUGGGGAGGAAGGGCAGUAAGUUAAUACCUUGCUGUUUUGACGUUACCAACAGAAUAAGCACCGGCUAACUUCGUG
rnacentral:rRNA from 1 species